AUUGAACGCUGGCGGAAUGCUUUACACAUGCAAGUCGAACGGCAGCACGGGGGCAGCCCUGGUGGCGAGUGGCGAACGGGUGAGUAAUACAUCGGAACGUGCCCGGUCGUGGGGGAUAACGUAGCGAAAGUUACGCUAAUACCGCAUACGAUCUGAGGAUGAAAGCGGGGGACCUUCGGGCCUCGCGCGAUCGGAGCGGCCGAUGUCAGAUUAGGUAGUUGGUGGGGUAAAGGCCUACCAAGCCGACGAUCUGUAGCUGGUCUGAGAGGACGACCAGCCACACUGGGACUGAGACACGGCCCAGACUCCUACGGGAGGCAGCAGUGGGGAAUUUUGGACAAUGGGCGCAAGCCUGAUCCAGCCAUUCCGCGUGCAGGACGAAGGCCUUCGGGUUGUAAACUGCUUUUGUACGGAACGAAAAGGCUCUGGCUAAUACCUGUGGCUCAUGACGGUACCGUAAGAAUAAGCACCGGCUAACUACGUG
rnacentral:rRNA from 1 species